AUUGAACGCUGGCGGCAUGCUUUACACAUGCAAGUCGAACGGUAACAGGCCUUCGGGUGCUGACGAGUGGCGAACGGGUGAGUAAUGCAUCGGAACGUGCCCAGAGGUGGGGGAUAACGCAGCGAAAGCUGUGCUAAUACCGCAUGUGAUCUGAGGAUGAAAGCGGGGGACCAGGCAGCAAUGUUUGGCCUCGCGCCUUUGGAGCGGCCGAUGUCAGAUUAGGUAGUUGGUGGGGUAAAGGCCUACCAAGCCGACGAUCUGUAGCUGGUCUGAGAGGACGACCAGCCCCACUGGGACUGGGACACGGCCCAGACUCCUACGGGAGGCAGCAGUGGGGAAUUUUGGACAAUGGGCGCAAGCCUGAUCCAGCAAUGCCGCGUGCGGGAAGAAGGCCUUCGGGUUGUAAACCGCUUUUGUACGGAACGAAAAGGCUCUGGCUAAUACCUGGGGCUGAUGACGGUACCGUAAGAAUAAGCACCGGCUAACUACGUG
rnacentral:rRNA from 1 species